CUGGCUUGGAUAGGUUCGGCAAAUUUAGACUGCAGGAAACCAUAACAUUAGAUGUUUCAGCAAUGUUUGCCUCCUUUGUCUUUAGGUUUUGCAUUAUUAUGCAUGGAACUCCUCUCACGAUGACCUUAUUAAUUCAUUAUAACGCAAGUUGCAUGUUUCUAGAUGCUUCAUAUUGUUGUUUAACCCUAUUAUCUAGACAUCGAGACACAUUUACUUUGUAUAAAUUAUAUGUGUAUUCUUUUCAUGCGUACUGUAUAAGCAGUUGUCGUCAUGGCAGUUGACCAUCUGGUGGGUCCCGUGUUGUGUAGGAAAAAUACAUAUUUUUUAUUUUUUUUCUUCAGGGUCUUUCUUUUGGGGCACUGCCGCUGCGCCUGCGAUUGCGUUGCUUCGCUUACCAAGCAAUGCUGGCCACAACUUUUUGCAACUUGGCCCUUAUUUUGGGAUGUACACACAUGAUUUGUUAGGUCAUAGUUUCCAUCUGAAAGGCACUGAAAACAAUAUAUAAUCUUCGAAUGGAUAUUAUUUAUACAAUUUAUUUUUACAAAGCUUAUUACUUGUCAAAGGGAGAGGACCUGCAAAGCUAGAUUUGGAUUCGCAGUACCUUUUUUAUUAUUUUUUAGGUCUUGUCUUUGCUAUGUGUGCACAUAUAUGAGGAUAGUCAACACAUUUGAAAAAUCAGUAGGUGACCACACCAGAAGGGCACACAAUAUUAGUAGUGGCAUUAUUCCCCUAUAAUUACGAAAGCAAUGAUACCAUGCAAUGGAAACUCUUUUUAUUCUUAUGAAAAAAGAUCUAAAUAAAGAUUAAGUUAUGCUAUGAUAUGUCUAUAACAAGUUUGUCCAAUAUUAACAUAUGUAGGUGCUUCCACUCAAUUGAAAAUUAAGUAUAUGUUGUUGUAGAAUUCAUGUCAGUUAAGCCUUUUUAACUUUGGUUAAUAAUAUAUAAAGAACUGCAUAAUUUGCAGUAUAUGAUAGAUGUUACUAGUUUCACCAUGAAUAGUAGU
rnacentral:lncRNA from 1 species